AUUGAACGCUGGCGGCAGGCCUAACACAUGCAAGUCGAGCGGGGUUUUCGGACCUAGCGGCGGACGGGUGAGUAACGCGUAGGAAGCUGCCCGAUAGAGGGGGAUACCAGUUGGAAACGACUGUUAAUACCGCAUAAUGUCUACGGACCAAAGUGUGGGACCUUCGGGCCACAUGCUAUCGGAUGCGCCUACGUGGGAUUAGCUAGUUGGUGAGGUAAUGGCUCACCAAGGCGACGAUCUCUAGCUGGUUUGAGAGGAUGAUCAGCCACACUGGAACUGAGACACGGUCCAGACUCCUACGGGAGGCAGCAGUGGGGAAUAUUGGACAAUGGGCGCAAGCCUGAUCCAGCCAUGCCGCGUGUGUGAAGAAGGCCUUCGGGUUGUAAAGCACUUUCAGCGAGGGGGAAGGGUGGUGUGUUAAUAGCACAUCAUUUUGACGUUACUCGCAGAAGAAGCACCGGCUAACUCUGUGCCAGCCGCCGCCGUAAGAC
rnacentral:rRNA from 1 species